GAUGAACGCUGGCGGCGUGCCUAAUACAUGCAAGUCGAGCGAACAGACGAGGAUCUUGCUCCUCUGACGUUAGCGGCGGACGGGUGAGUAACACGUGGAUAACCUACCUAUAAGACUGGGAUAACUUCGGGAAACCGGAGCUAAUACCGGAUAAUAUAUUGAACCGCAUGGUUCAAUAGUGAAAGACGGUUUUGCUGUCACUUAUAGAUGGAUCCGCGCCGCAUUAGCUAGUUGGUAAGGUAACGGCUUACCAAGGCGACGAUGCGUAGCCGACCUGAGAGGGUGAUCGGCCACACUGGAACUAAGACACGGUCCAGACUCCUACGGGAGGCAGCAGUAGGGAAUCUUCCGCAAUGGGCGAAAGCUUGACGGAGCAACGCCGCGUGAGUGAUGAAGGUCUUCGGAUCGUAAAACUCUGUUAUUAGGGAAGAACAAAUGUGUAAGUAACUAUGCACGUCUUGACGGUACCUAAUCAGAAAGCCACGGCUAACUACGUG
rnacentral:rRNA from 1 species